CAUUAACACCUAACCAGAGGCUAAACAUCAGCACAUGUGCGACAAACUCGAAAAUGUGGCAUCUAAAAAGGACAAAAACAAAAAAUGGCCAGUACCCAUUUGUUGAAAUGAUGAAAUAAACCCUUCAAAUCACGCUAUCCCCAAUCAAGAGAAGCUUAAUCAAGCAAUCGUAAUCAGUACGAGCCCUUGCUGGUGGUGCGGCCAUCCUUUCUCCUCCAAAUCAAUUCAACCCACGAAUCAAAUUCCCUCUGUGCGCAAACAAAAACUACAGAAACAGAGAGAGAGCGACCUAUGUAAGAUCAAAAUCAGAGAGGGAGAGAGCAACCUUAGGUUUACCAAGCAAGAGAGAGCGA
rnacentral:misc_RNA from 1 species